rnacentral:rRNA from 1 species
UACGAAGGGUGCUAGCGUUGUUCGGAAUCACUGGGCGUAAAGCGCGCGUAGGCGGCUUUUCAAGUCAGGGGUGAAAUCCCAGAGCUUAACUCUGGAAUUGCCUUUGAAACUGUUAAGCUGGAGUGUCGGAGGGGAUAGCGGAAUUGCUAAUGUAGAGGUGAAAUUCGUAGAUAUUAGCAGGAACACCGGUGGCGAAGGCGGCUAUCUGGACGACAACUGACGCUGAGGCGCGAAAGCGUGGGGAGCAAACAGG